rnacentral:siRNA from 1 species
UCCGGCACAGUAAAGAUUCUUCU